UCGCUGAGGAUAACCCCGAACCAGACAGCCGAGGAUUACCUCCUUCUGCGUCAGGAACUGGACAGGCGCUUCCCUCAAGCCGGCGUCGUGGGUCCUGACAUCACCAGACCGAAGAAGAUGAACAGGAAGUUAGCUUUAAAAAUGUCUUCUGUGGACUACCUUGCUUCCUUCUUGUCAACGGUGAAGAUAAACCUGACAGCUGUUACAUGGCAUCAGCGAAUCUGCAGUUGCAAUUUGUCCCACAAUAUACCUACCUAAGGC